CACAGCUGUUGCACAGCAGAAUUGUGCGGCUCACACACUGAAGUGUCGUUUUAGUUACAGUUGGUACGAGACAGUGAGAAUGCAGACGUGUUUUUAUCUUCUCUUCUUCUUUCACAUCGCUGAAGGUUGUACAUUAUCGGAUUAUAAUGAGGUUUAUAUACCAGCAUCAUCAGGAGGGUCUGCAGAGCUGCCGUGCUCCUGCGCUGAUCCAAAGGUUAAAGCCUCGAGCCUUAGAUGGUCAUUUAGAAAAACCUAUGCCGUUAGGUUUUCUGCCAUCUAUCCCACUGAUGAGACGAAACGCUACAGGGACCGAGUUCAGCUGGUUAAUGGUGCUGCUCCAGGACAUUUCAAUAUCGUCAUAUCACGCCUGACUGUAGAGGAUGGAGGAACGUAUCGAUGUCGGGAUGAGAAUCAGUCGAGAAACCUCAGGCUUGUCGUCCUCACAGUAGAAGUCUCGCCAGAGCGUCUUCCCUUCGUCCCCUUCGCCGUGGUGACUGUGAUCUUUCUGCACAUUAUCGUGGCUGUGGUCUAUUGCAGAACCAGAAAGAAAGAUUCUUCCAGAGUUCACUACAGCACAGCUGGAGAUGGAAGUGUGACUCUGGAGUUGUGAAGCUCAGCAGAAGAACAGAAGAAGUUUCCCUUCACUGGAACUAAGAGGCUCAAACCUGUUCCCCCGAACACCUUUGGGAUGAACCGGUACUCCGACUGCACCCCAGACCUCAUCAUCUAACAUCAGUGCCUGACUUCACUAAUGCUUUUUGAAGCUGAAUGGCCUUACACUGAAAUCUAGUGGAAAGCCUUCCCAGAAGAGUGGAGGUUAAUAUAACAGCAAAGAGGGAAUCAAUCUGCGGUGGAAUAUUCAACAAGCACAUAUGGAAUUUGAUGAGAAUCAGUCGAGAAACCUCAGGCUUGUCGUCCUCACAGUAGAAGCUCCUCUAGUGCGCAGUAAAACUACAGCGAGCACUCCCGAGCAAAA
ensembl:lncRNA